GGAUAUAUACAACAGAUACAAGAACUAGAUUAUAAAGGAUGAAAGGUAUUUGUAUACUAAAGAAUAGGGGAUUACUCAUAUAAGAUUUCCAUUGGCAAAGAUGAUGACAGCAUGUUGCAAAGGCAACACCUCUCAAGCUGCAAUUGUCUCCAAGUCCAUUAUGUUGCUGAGUGAGGAAGCACCUUAAGUACUUCAUGAAACCACAUCUUAAAAGGGAGCCAUGCCUCAGCAGUUGGAGCUCAUUGCAAAAGAAAUUCUUUCACCUUUGUAUAUGAUAUUCCAUCAUUUCACAGAGACAAUCAGGGGAGAGAAAAGGCAAAAGGAUAAACGAAUGAAGAAUUGUUUAGAGAUGUAUUAGUUGGAGAGUACUACAUGCACUGGUCUAGUAAAAGCAUCCGCCAAAAUAGGAAGGAUAAACAAAAUCACCUACACCGCACUUGCUUUUCCUGUGGUUUAUGUCUUCUCUUUUUUCGCCUUGUAAUUGUAGGUGUGAUAUUUUAUGUUAUUAAGCAUUGUUAAAUUAGGAGAGCUGCAUAUUCUUUUCUUUUUUAUUCUAUUUUUGUUGAAAAUAAUUGUGGAUGUCAUGGUGAAGACUCUCUCUUUCUCUCUCUCUCAUGGUUUAGGCCUCUAAGCAUUUGGCCAUCUGCUAUGGUACUCAUUUUGAAAGUCUUUUAUAUUGUGAGCUAACUUGCAAAAAAAAUGUAAUCUGUAUAUGGUAUCUAAACUUUUCUAUUUUCUCUUCAUUAAU